UUAACUUAUUACAAUAUUACUCAGACAACACAAAAAUCAAGAGUUUAGGGUCCUCUGGCAGGCGCGGACCAGCCAAAGCCAGUGGUCAAGAGACGGGCCUGCCAAAGCAACAAAGGUAAUAUAAACAAAGGGUGGGAGAUCUACCCCAAAGGGCAAUUCUCUGUAAUGAUCCUUCCGCAGGUUCACCUACGGAACGCUAUAGUCUACAACCCUUUCAGAAGUAGGCCGGUCAUAUCUGAAUCCAAGAGAGCCCUCUUGGACCACCUUCGUUUGAUCUGUGAACUGCUAUAAGCAGCUGCAUGUUACCCUGACGGUAUCCAAGCACAGUGAAGAUGUUGCCUAUGUAGGUAGACUUGUAUCCAAGGCUUCUGCAGGUGUUGUUCUGCCAGAGAAA
rnacentral:misc_RNA from 1 species